ACAGAUGCUCCUGAGAUUAAGGCUAUAUCCUUCUGCUCCUCAGAGGGAGAUAUGGUAAAGUGUGUGUGCAUUGUUGAGUCCAGGCCUCCCAGCAUGGUCCACUUUGUGCUUUCUGACAGAGUCCUGCCAAGCACCAAGGUAGAGAAACAUGACUCUGUUACCAUCGGGACUCUGCAAGCAGAGCUGGGAUCUUCUGCGUUUGUCCUCUGUCUGGCAAACAAUACGCAGGGCAAUGCCAACGUCACACUCUUUUUACCUGUUAACAGUAGGAUGCAGAGUCUUUAUAUUAUCAUCGCCAUUGGAGCAGGUGCAAUUUUGGUGAUACUUUUAACAGGGUUAGGGGUUAGGGGGAAUAAAGAUGACAUUAAAAAAAAAAAAAAACUCACUGGGGCCAGAAAGCAGGAAAAUAGCUGAACUAAUAAUUUUCUGAUCAGCUGGGAUGCCCUGGAAGCUCACCUGGUAGAGUGCCCGCCCCAUGUAAUAAGGCUGAGUUCUUACUACACUGGUCCGUGUUUGAUUCCAGCACCUUUGCUGCAUGCCGUCCCCUCUCUCUUUCCCCCUCCCUGUCUCUCUUAUUGCCUCUAUCAUUGUCAAUAAGAGCAUGUUAAAAUGCUAGCGGUAGCAUUUAGCUCAAAUCACCGCCGUGCCUAAGUAAUAGUGAUGGGAAUUCAAGCUCUUUUUAGAGAACCGGUUCCUUUGGCUCGGCUCACUAAAAAGAGUGGGCUCUUUUGGCUCCCAAGUGGCUCCUCAGAUUUUUUGUUGCUUAAAUUAAUU
rnacentral:lncRNA from 15 species